GACGUAGGAGGCGAGCGUUGUCCGGAUUCAUUGGGCGUAAAGAGCACGUAGGCGGCAUUGCAAGUCGGAUGUGAAAUCCCUCGGCUUAACCAAGGAAGUGCAUCCGAAACUGCUGUGCUUGAGUACUUAAGAGGAUCGCGGAAUUCCCGGUGUAGAGGUGAAAUUCGUAGAUAUCGGGAGGAACACCAGUGGCGAAGGCGGCGAUCUGGGAAGAUACUGACGCUGAGGUGCGAAAGCGUGGGGAGCAAACAGG
rnacentral:rRNA from 1 species